rnacentral:rRNA from 1 species
CAUGCAGUCGAGCGGAAGGCCCUUCGGGGUACUCGAGCGGCGAACGGGUGAGUAACACGUGAGCAACCUGCCCUAGGCUUUGGGAUAACCCCGGGAAACCGGGGCUAAUACCGAAUAUGACCUGGCCUCGCAUGAGGCUUGGUGGAAAGUUUUUCGGCCUGGGAUGGGCUCGCGGCCUAUCAGCUUGUUGGUGGGGUGAUGGCCUACCAAGGCGACGACGGGUAGCCGGCCUGAGAGGGCGACCGGCCACACUGGGACUGAGACACGGCCCAGACUCCUACGGGAGGCAGCAGUGGGGAAUAUUGCACAAUGGGCGGAAGCCUGAUGCAGCGACGCCGCGUGAGGGAUGACGGCCUUCGGGUUGUAAACCUCUUUCAGCAGGGACGAAGCGUAAGUGACGGUACCUGCAGAAGAAGCGCCGGCCAACUACGUGCCAGCAGCCCGGGGGUAAUUCA